GGAAAUGAUGUCACUUCCUGGCAACAGAACCCAACAGAACCCGGAACGUGGGUAUCCAGGCCUCCACAGCAGAGAGGAGCCCCCAGCCAGAUCGCUUGCUGCCAAGAUGUUCUGCUGUUUGCCCCUGCCCAGAGGCCGGGGCCUCGGGAGAGCUCACAGGCAGAGCGUGUGGGAACAUGCUCAACGCUGGCUCAGGCUCCCCCCGAGAGGCCUCUGUCCCUUUGCCUGAAGGAAAAGGAAGAGCUUCCCACUGGAUGUGGCCGAUGAGGGGGACACCCCGUCCACCUCCCUGACGGAGGGGUUGGACCACCACCCCCCUGCCCGUGAGCCCCAGUGCAGGCUCCAGGUGAGUGUGCCCACGGAGGGGUCAGCCCAACUGGGAAUGAAGAGGAAGCAGGGAAGGCUGUGGCCCAGACACCACCCAGGACACACCCUGGGGCCCAGUCUCAGGCUCCCACAAAGCUCAGCACAUCCAGCUCCAACCCAGAGCCCCGAGAACCCCUGCCUCUGAGGCAGCAGGAGGACCUGGAGCCCAGCACGGCAGAGCACAGAGGUCUAGCUCUGACCUUCAAAUUCAACCAGGCUCCACUUCCAAGACCUGUCCCUACAGAGGUGGUUGCUACAGGUGCAGGACCCAGGGAUCCACUGAGGGGAGAUCGAGACCUGAGAUUUCCCCUCCCAAAGACACCAGGCCAGCUGGGUACUGGCCAGCACCCUGAGAAGAUCGGAUCUCUGUGCCUGCAGGACCCCCAGCCCCAGGCACUGAUGUCCCACCCCCUCAGAGAAAACCUCCACCUCCACCUGCACCUGUACCUGCUCGGGCUUUGGCAGAAGAACCCCUGUCCGGGGAUGAGUUACCACCUCUGCAGGGAGAGCCUGCCCUGGCUCCUGCCCAAGACCCAGAUGCCCAUGAUGACUCACCCACCCCUGCAGGGAGAAUGGGCCCCCGCUCUGGACAGAGACCCAGAUCCCUUUCUGGAAACACCUCGUCCAGGAGCACGGUUGGCUCUGCAGCGCCUCCAUCCCUGUCUGAUUCCCAUGGACGCCAUCAACUCGCUCCCCACCCAGGGGAAAUUGAGUUCCCUUCCCCUGAGCUUCUUUUAAUCUGGUUUGUGUUUAGUUUUCUUGUGAGGUUUUAUUUUUUUUUAUGGAUUUAUAUAUAU
ensembl:lncRNA